rnacentral:rRNA from 1 species
UACGUAGGGUGCGAGCGUUAAUCGGAAUUACUGGGCGUAAAGCGUGCGCAGGCGGUUCGCCAAGUCAGGUGUGAAAUCCCCGGGCUUAACCUGGGAAUUGCGCUUGAAACUAGCGGGCUUGAGUGUGGCAGAGGGGGGUGGAAUUCCCAGUGUAGCGGUGAAAUGCGUAGAUAUUGGGAGGAACACCAGUGGCGAAGGCGGCUCACUGGACCGGUACUGACGCUGAUGCGCGAAAGCGUGGGGAGCAAACGGG